UACGGAAGGCAGCAGUGGGGAAUAUUGCACAGUGGGCGCAAGCCUGAUGCAGCCAUGCCGCGUGUAUGAAGAAGGCCUUCGGGUUGUAAAGUACUUUCAGUCGUGAGGAAGGUGUUAAGGUUAAUAACCUUAGCAAUUGACGUUAGCGACAGAAGAAGCACCGGCUAACUCCGUGCCAGCAGCCGCGGUAAUACGGAGGGUGCGAGCGUUAAUCGGAAUUACUGGGCGUAAAGGGCACGCAGGCGGUUAAUUAAGUUGGAUGUGAAAUCCCCGGGCUUAACCUGGGAAUGGCAUUCAAGACUGGUUAGCUAGAGUCUUGUAGAGGGGGUAGAAUUCCAUGUGUAGCGGUGAAAUGCGUAGAGAUGUGGAGGAAUACCGGUGGCGAAGGCGGCCCCUGGACAAAGACUGACGCUCAUGUGCGAAAGCGUGGGGAGCAAACAGGAUUAGAUACC
rnacentral:rRNA from 1 species